rnacentral:tRNA from 1 species
GCAGUUGUGUCCUACUGGUUAGGGCUUCAGGCUUGGAACCGAAGGGCUGCUGGUUCGAUCCCCGACCAGUCGGA